UACAGAGGUGGCAAGCGUUGUUCGGAAUUACUGGCGUAAAGGCUCGUAGGUGGCCAACUAAGUCAGACGUGAAAUCCCUCGGCUUAACCGGGAACUGCGUCUGAUACUGGAUGGCUUGAGUCCGGAGAGGUGAGUGGAACUCCGAGUGUAGAGGUGAAAUUCGUAGAUAUUCGGAAGAACACCAGUGGCGAAGGCGGCUCACUGGCCGGUACUGACGCUGAGGUGCGAAGCGUGGAGCAACAGG
rnacentral:rRNA from 1 species